GGGUGUAGCUCAAUGGUAAAGCACUUGUUAGCACAUGCAAAGUCCUGGGUUCAAUCCCCAGCACCC
rnacentral:tRNA from 1 species